CCUACGGGAGGCAGCAGUGGGGAAUCUUGCGCAAUGGGCGAAAGCCUGACGCAGCAACGCCGCGUGCGGGAAGAAGGCUUUCGGGCUGUAAACCGCUUUCAGCAGGAACGAAAAUGACGGUACCUGCAGAAGAAGGAGCGGCCAACUAUGUGCCAGCAGCCGCGGUGAUACAUAGGCUUCAAGCGUUGUCCGGAUUUAUUGGGCGUAAAGAGUUCGUAGGCGGUCAAGUAAGUCGGGUGUGAAAAUUCUGGGCUCAACCCAGAGACGCCACCCGAUACUGCUUAACUUGAGUUCGAUAGGGGAGUGGGGAAUUCCUAGUGUAGCGGUGAAAUGCGCAGAUAUUAGGAGGAACACCGGUGGCGAAGGCGCCACUCUGGAUCGAUACUGACGCUGAGGAACGAAAGCAUGGGUAGCAAACAGGAUUAGAUACCCUGGUAGUCCAUGCCGUAAACGGUGGGCACUAGGUGUGGGUUUCUAUUAACGAAAUCCGCGCCGUCGCUAACGCAUUAAGUGCCCCGCCUGGGGAGUACGGUCGCAAGCUAAAACUCAAAUGAAAUUGACGG
rnacentral:rRNA from 1 species